AUACGGGGGGUGCAAGCGUUGUUCGGAAUUACUGGGCGUAAAGCGCGCGUAGGUGGUCUGUUAUGUCAGAUGUGAAAGUCCACGGCUCAACCGUGGAAGUGCAUUUGAAACUGGCAGACUUGAGUACUGGAGGGGGUAGUGGAAUUCCCGGUGUAGAGGUGAAAUUCGUAGAUAUCGGGAGGAAUACCGGUGGCGAAGGCGACUACCUGGCCAGAUACUGACACUGAGGUGCGAAAGCGUGGGGAGCGAACAGGAUUAGAAACCCCGGUAGUCC
rnacentral:rRNA from 1 species